rnacentral:rRNA from 1 species
UUGAACGCUGGCGGCGUGCCUAACACAUGCAAGUCGAACGCGCGGGGGCAACCCUGUGAGUGGCGAACGGGUGAGUAACACGUGGGCAACCUGCCCUUAAGUGGGGAAUAAUCAGUCGAAAGGCUGACUAAUACCGCAUAAGAUGGAGACAUCGCAUGGUGUUUUCAUUAAAGGUUUAUCCGCUUAGGGAUGGGCCCGCGUCCCAUUAGCUAGUUGGUAAGGUAACGGCUUACCAAGGCAACGAUGGGUAGCCGGUCUGAGAGGAUGAUCGGCCACACUGGGACUGAGAUACGGCCCAGACUCCUACGGGAGGCAGCAGUGAGGAAUAUUGCGCAAUGGACGCAAGUCUGACGCAGCAACGCCGCGUGAACGAUGAAGCCCUUCGGGGUGUAAAGUUCUGUAAGAGGGGAAGAAUAGGCGAAGUCUAACUUCGCUUUGACGGUACCCUAAAAGUAAGCACCGGCUAACUCCGU